rnacentral:rRNA from 1 species
CGGCGUGCCUAACACAUGCAAGUCGAACGGUAACUUUUUUAAAAGUAUUUCUUCGGAAUGUAAUUUGAUUAAGUUUAGUGGCGGACGGGUGAGUAACGCGUGAGUAACCUGCCUCUAAGAGGGGAAUAACAUUCUGAAAAGAAUGCUAAUACCGCAUAACAUAUAUUUAUCGCAUGGUAGAUAUAUCAAAGAUUUAUCGCUUAGAGACGGACUCGCGUCCGAUUAGUUAGUUGGUGAGGGUAACGGCUCACCAAGACCGCGAUCGGUAGCCGGACUGAGAGGUUGAACGGCCACAUUGGGACUGAGACACGGCCCAGACUCCUACGGGAGGCAGCAGUGGGGGAUAUUGCGCAAUGGGGGAAACCCUGACGCAGCAACGCCGCGUGAAGGAUGAAGGUCUUCGGAUUGUAAACUUCUUUAUUAAGGACGAAGAAAGUGACGGUACUUAAUGAAUAAGCUCCGGCUAACUACGUG